rnacentral:ncRNA from 1 species
AUAGCCACGCAGGGGAGUCCCACCGAGGGGACUGAGAGGCUGACAGGGCGGAGCAAUCCACCCGGCGACGCGACCCUUUGAACCUGACCCAGUUGACACUGGCGUAGGAAGCUAGGACGCGCUGCCA